rnacentral:rRNA from 1 species
AUUGAACGCUGGCGGAAUGCUUUACACAUGCAAGUCGAACGGCAGCACGGGGCAACCUGGUGGCGAGUGGCGAACGGGUGAGUAAUAUAUCGGAACGUGCCCAAUCGUGGGGGAUAACGUAGCGAAAGUUACGCUAAUACCGCAUACGAUCUACGGAUGAAAGCGGGGGAUCGCAAGACCUCGCGCGAAUGGAGCGGCCGAUAUCAGAUUAGGUAGUUGGUGGGGUAAAGGCUCACCAAGCCAACGAUCUGUAGCUGGUCUGAGAGGACGACCAGCCACACUGGAACUGAGACACGGUCCAGACUCCUACGGGAGGCAGCAGUGGGGAAUUUUGGACAAUGGGCGCAAGCCUGAUCCAGCCAUUCCGCGUGCAGGAUGAAGGCCUU